rnacentral:rRNA from 1 species
UACGUAGGGGGCAAGCGUUGUCCGGAUUUACUGGGCGUAAAGAGCGCGUAGGCGGCCAAGCAGGUCCGUUGUGAAAACUGGAGGCUUAACCUCCAGACGUCGACGAAAACCGCGUGGCUAGAGUCCGGAAGAGGAGAGUGGAAUUCCUGGUGUAGCGGUGAAAUGCGCAGAUAUCUGGAGGAACACCGGUGGCGAAGGCGGCAUCCUGGACCGACACUGACGCUGAGGAACGAAAGCCAGGGGAGCAAACGGG